UAAGAGCUACACGCACGGGCUACGGAGGGGGAGAGCGCAUGAGGAAGUUGUGUUGUUGUUGUGAUGACGGAGUGGAUGUAGCGGCCGGAGAAUUGUCUGUACUGUAACUUUGUUACUCAGUGUUAGAUUAAUAAAUCCUCAAAGAAAGUAAAGCGGACUUUUAUUCACCAACCCCGGGACGAAGGGAAUUAACCCCAAAGUUUACUUAGCCGACAGUACUUUGGCCCUGGAGCAGACAGCAACGCCUCCCCCUGCAAACUCCGACUACGGUCAGAGACGGACCGGCAGGAAAGGUGAACACAAGGCUAACGAAGUUAAUUGUCAACAUUAAUGUGCCUGUCAUGGUAUGAGGCCAGACAUGGCCCGUGCAAAGUCAUGCCACCAGUCUGAGGACAUCACUGGGAAUGGCACAUGGGACACGUGGCUUUCAACUCCAGCGAGGUGGGAAAGCAUUUCUUUAUGUAUAUUUUGUUCUGUCUGCAUAAUUGUAAAAGACUUCUUCCCGCAUUCGUACAACAGCAUUCCAUAUCGUGUGACUGUCGAUGGAUGUAAUAAUUUGGCCUUCUUUUUUUCUUCCACCACACGGCACGGGUGGGCUUAACCGCGGGCAAUCGUGGCAAAGACCCAAGUCGACUGGACCACAGCGGAAAAUGAUCCUUCCAGAGAAGAAGUUAUUUACUUCUACAACGAAUGGAAGAGUUACAACUUCCAGAUGACAGCUCGCCGCUCAUCCUUCUGGGCAACUUGAACAUCCGACAGAACUUAUGUGACCUACUGCGUUUAUUUUCUCCUUUAGCUCUCACUAACUCUAACUUGCCCCAGCACCUGUUGUGAUUUAUUCUAGCGCUUCCACAAUUGAAUUUUGCUUGGUAUUUCAUCUAACUUGCCCCAGCACCUGUUGUGAUUUAUUCUAGCGCUUCCACAAUUGAAUUUUGCUUGUUAUUUUAUCUAACUUGCCCCAGCACCUGUUGUGAUUAAUUCUCUCUCACGGUGUCAAGUGUGUACCUUGAUCUUUUUUUUGCUCAUUGCAGCCCUUCUCUGCAAGGAGUGCUAACAAUGCAUGGUGCUGUUCAUUAAGCAACUGGGUAAAGAGCUUGUAAUGCCACAUAUGAAAAAGCUCAUAAGCUCAUUUAUAAUAAAAUAAUAUAUAUAAUCUUG